GACGAACGCUGGCGGCGUGCCUAAUACAUGCAAGUAGAACUCUGAAGGAGGAGCUUGCUUCUCUGGAUGAGUUGCGAACGGGUGAGUAACGCGUAGGUAACCUGCCUGGUAGCGGGGGAUAACUAUUGGAAACGAUAGCUAAUACCGCAUAAUAGUAGAUGUUGCAUGACAUUUGCUUAAAAGGUGCAAUUGCAUCACUACCAGAUGGACCUGCGUUGUAUUAGCUAGUUGGUGGGGUAACGGCUCACCAAGGCGACGAUACAUAGCCGACCUGAGAGGGUGAUCGGCCACACUGGGACUGAGACACGGCCCAGACUCCUACGGGAGGCAGCAGUAGGGAAUCUUCGGCAAUGGACGGAAGUCUGACCGAGCAACGCCGCGUGAGUGAAGAAGGUUUUCGGAUCGUAAAGCUCUGUUGUAAGAGAAGAACGAGUGUGAGAGUGGAAAGUUCACACUGUGACGGUAUCUUACCAGAAAGGGACGGCUAACUACGUG
rnacentral:rRNA from 1 species